rnacentral:rRNA from 1 species
GAUGAACGCUGGCGGCGUGCCUAAUGCAUGCAAGUCGAGCGAACGGACGAGAAGCUUGCGUCUCUGAUGUUAGCGGCGGACGGGUGAGUAACACGUGGAUAAUCUACCUAUAAGACGGGGAUAAUUUCGGGAAACCGGAGCUAAUACCGGAUAAUAUUUUGAUCCGUAUGGUUCAAAAGUGAAAGACGGUGUUGCUGUCACUUAUAGAUGGAUCUGCGCUGCAUUAGCUAGUUGGUAAGGUAACGGCUUAUCAAGGCAACGAUGCAUAGCCGACCUCAUGGGGGGGUAGCCCGCAUGGGAGCGGAGACGGGGACCUGGCGCCUGCGGGACGCAGCAGUAUGGAAUCUGCCGCAGUAGGCGAGAGCCUGGCAGAGCAGCGCCGCGUGAGUGAUGGAAGUCUCCGGAUCGUAAAACUCUGUUAUGAGUGAAGAACAUAUGUGGAAGUAGCUGUGCACAUCUUGACGGUAACUAAUCAGAAAGCCACGGCUAACUACGUG